rnacentral:pre_miRNA from 1 species
GAGAUACUCCAUCCGUUUCAUAAUUCUUGUCGAAAUCAUACAUGUAUUUAGAUAUUUUUUAGGAAUAGAUACAUUCAUUUUUAGACAAACUUAAGACAAGAAUUAUGAAACGGUGGAAGUAGAAU